rnacentral:misc_RNA from 1 species
CUCUUCUUCUUCCUCUUCUUCCUCCUAAUAUCAAUUUAUUUUGAAUCACCACAUAAAAAAGCAAAGCAUUAAAAUAUCACAUAAUAAAGAGCUAGCAGCACAGACUCCAGAAACUUCACAAUCAGCAUAUAGUGUGCCAAAAUAAUUAGAAUAAAUGCAUUCCAGGAAGUACACCGAAAUAAAGGCUAUUGCCUGUGCAAUGGUAAAGGUCAUGGCUUACAACUUCAGCUGCAAAUUAGAGAUCUUAAAGUAGUCAUUUCAUAGAAAAUUACUGACAGGACUGCAAAAUUCCCUUCCCAAGUUCUAAUUAGAUGAAAUCAUAGUUAAUAAUGGCCUUUUUGAUACACAAAAAUGUGUAACAAGAUAUGCUUUUCAAAGACUGAAGUUAUUGAACUUGUGAUUUCACUGAACCAACAAAAAGAAAAGAACAAAUAGAGGGUUGGUUAUCAAAGCUACCGGGGAAGAGAAGGGAGGGAAACAUUGCAAAGCAUUGAUGAAUGCAGUCAGUACAAGGCCAAUAAGAAAAAUGAAAUCUAUUAGUAGUGGCUCCC